GCGCCCGUAGCUCAACGGAUAGAGCGUCUGACUACGGAUCAGAAGGUUGGGGGUUCGAGUCCCUCCGGGCGCG
rfam:Arcanobacterium haemolyticum DSM 20595, complete genome.